CAUUGGUCUGUAUUCCAAAAUCUCUGUACUUGCCACCCACUUUUUGUACUUCCCUCAACUCUUUUUCCUCCAAACAAAUACACGCCUUUGCAUGUAAAAUAGAAGCAGCUCUUUCUCACUCUUCCUUUUCAAAAACCUGCAGAUCUGCAUUACUCUCAAGCACCGGAUAAUCUCCAAACUCUUUCGUUUUCAAACGCUCAGGAAUAGCCUGGUUUGAGCGUCGCUACAUCCAUAUAUGCAAAAUGUGAGUUCCUCUGUUGAAAUCGAUUUCUCAUGUUUUUCCUUAUUAUUUCUGAAUGUUGAACUAUUGAACAACUGAUUUGUGUAUCUUACAACAUGAGUUUCCUUUUGUUUUUUAUUAACUGUUGUUCAUUUUCUUUGAUAACUGUGUUUCUUUUUGCUACUUUUUCAUCUUAUGUACUCUAUGUUCAAAGCCUGGCAUCACAGUCGAGUAGCUCUAAAGGUCCUAAUUGGCAUCACAGUCCAAAUCAAGUGAUUAUGGAAUCCCUUGCUUUCGGCAAUGAACGUUGGAUCCUUUGCUUUGAUUGUGUUAGUGACAAACUAUGCAGUGCAUGGUUCAGUUCGUGUUCAAGUUCUUGGAUGGAUUUGUGUUUCUCAAUCUGUUAGUGUCUUUGCAGCACCACAAAGAGUGUUGAGUUUAGGGCCUGGAUAAAUUUUUCUUCUCACUUCAGCCAAACCAGGUAAAGUAUAGGGCCAGUUCACUAUGACAAUGGGAGAAGCACAAAAGAUAAUUAUGAUGCAAGAGUCUUUCACUAAAAUAUUGUUCCUCUCCCUCUUUUGGCUGUUUUUAUGGUUUGGUUUUUUAUGUUUUAAUCACUUUUCAAAUAAGUUGUUUUCAAUAAUUUAUUUUCACAGUUAACCAAAUAAGUUGUGUUUAAAUACCAAUGCUCUGAUUUUAUGUAUAAGCUGGAUUUCACCAGUAGCUCUACUUUUGAUUCUUCCAUCUUCAUACGACAUUGACUGUGUUAUGGUAUAAUGUUUUCAACUAAUGUUAUACUUUUUCAUGGUAAAAGCUAACACAUGGUUUUCAUUAGAGAGUCUAUAAGUUGUUUUGUUAUGAAAUGUAUAAGCUGUUUUUGUUUGCAUUUCAAAUCCCUUUUGCUUUCCAUCCUGAGAAUGCUAAACAUGGUAAAAGCUAAGACAUUAAGUUGUUUUGCUAUCAAAU